rnacentral:rRNA from 2 species
GAACUCCAUGUGUAGCGGUGAAAUGCGUAGAUAUAUGGAAGAACACCAGUGGCGAAGGCGGCUGUCUGGUCUGCAACUGACGCUGAGGCUCGAAAGCAUGGGUAGCGAACAGGAUUAGAUACCCUGGUAGUCCAUGCCGUAAACGAUGAGUGCUAAGUGUUGGAGGGUUUCCGCCCUUCAGUGCUGCAGCUAACGCAUUAAGCACUCCGCCUGGGGAGUACGACCGCAAGGUUGAAACUCAAAGGAAUUGACGGGGGCCCGCACAAGCGGUGGAGCAUGUGGUUUAAUUCGAUGCUACGCGAAGAACCUUACCAGGUCUUGACAUCUUCUGCUAACCUAAGAGAUUAGGCGUUCCCUUCGGGGACGGAAUGACAGGUGGUGCAUGGUUGUCGUCAGCUCGUGUCGUGAGAUGUUGGGUUAAGUCCCGCAACGAGCGCAACCCUUAUUGUCAGUUGCCAGCAUUUAGUUGGGCACUCUGGCGAGACUGCCGGUGACAAACCGGAGGAAGGUGGGGAUGACGUCNAAUCAUCAUGCCCCUUAUGACCUGGGCUACACACGUGCUACAUUGGACGGUACAACGAGUCGCGAAACCGCGAGGUCAAGCUAAUCUCUUAAAGCCGUUCUCAGUUCGGANUUGUAGGCUGCAACUCCCCUACNUGAAGUUGGAAUCGCUAGUAAUCGUGGAUCACAUGC